rnacentral:tRNA from 1 species
GACCGGCUAGUUCAGCUGGUAGAGCAUGAGAUUCUUAAUCUCAGGGUCAUGGGUUUGUGCCCCACGUUGGGCG